GAGGAUAAUCCUCAUCUCUGGUUUACAAGACCAGGGCUUUGGUUUUUAAGCUACCAGAAC
rnacentral:tRNA from 1 species